CUUUAUUUUGUAAAGUAGGAGCCUGCUUCUGUCAGUGCACCCAGCCUUCUGGGCAGAGCGUCCUCUGUGGUGAGGGUGUAAUCGUUCUAAGCUCCAUAGUCCUAACUUACUCCCUUUUCCUGGGAGGCACCGGCUUCACCCUCUCCACAGAGCAUCUGGACGGUUCCAUUUGAGGAGCAUAAUUAUGACGACUGUCCCCAAGUCCACCAACACCAGUUCCACUUCCGUGGAACUGCCCCAAGGAAUGAACGUGUGGGAUUGGCAAGAGGAGCGUGAACAAGAGGAAUACAGGAAUUAGCACACAUGCCUCACCUGCCACCCUCAAGUGCAGCUACCUGUCCUUAGUCACUCACCUAUAGCUGGAUGCUAAGACUACUCACUCCAGGCGUUGGUGGCGCACGCCUUUAGUCCCAGCACUUGAGAGGCAGAAGCAGGUGGAUCUCUGUGAGUUCGAGGCCAGCCUGGUCUACAGAGCAAGUUCCAGAACAGCCUCCAAAGCAAUACAGAGAAACCCUGUCUUGAAAAACAAACAACAAAAAAAAAUCUGCCCACACCAAUGGCCAUGAAUAUGGACCUACUCAUACCUGUGCAAAAGUUGCCCCUCCUCCUGUACUCCUCCAGGACUAGGACGUCCCAAGUGUCCCUGACCUUCAGUUAUCACCUCUAGAGACCCACACCUCCUCCCCAGGGCUGGGCAGUUUGCACGGGAUGAAGGCUACUGGGAAGGCCAAUACCAGAUUUCCACCCUGGCUUGCAAGCUAGUCCCCAAGUACUGGGGACUUUCAGUAGUCAUCUGUUCUUUCUGAGGGUCCCUGACUUUCCUUCCAGCUCUCCAGAGUUUGGAGAAUCCAGUUCAAAGUCUGUAAGUCUAAUGUCAAUGAAUUCUUAAUCUGAAGUGCAGUCAGUCAAGGGAGAGGGGGAAUCAGCUGUCAGUCUUAGGACUGGAGGCUUCAGGCCCCACCUCCUGACCAGCCUAGUGAGAGGGCAGUGGCUCUCCUGAAGCUGAAAGCCUGGAUCUCCAAGUCCGGGCUCCCUGAAAAGCCAGAAGCUGGUCAGGAGGCCAGAAAAUGUGCUGGCUGGCUCCAGUAGCAUAGUACUUGCUCUGGUCUUCAUCCUCUGGAGGGAACAACCAGGAGAGGCCGGAGUGAACAAACAGGGGAGAAGUCUGUGGGGUAGAGAGCUGGGCUGG
ensembl:lncRNA